rnacentral:rRNA from 1 species
GACGAACGCUGGCGGCGUGCUUAACACAUGCAAGUCGAACGGAAAGGCCCUGCUUUUGUGGGGUGCUCGAGUGGCGAACGGGUGAGUAACACGUGAGUAACCUGCCCUUGACUUUGGGAUAACUUCAGGAGACUGGGGCUAAUACCGGAUAGGAGCUCCUGCUGCAUGGUGGGGGUUGGAAAGUUUCGGCGGUUGGGGAUGGACUCGCGGCUUAUCAGCUUGUUGGGGGGGUAGUGGCUUACCAAGGCUUUGACGGGUAGCCGGCCUGAGAGGGUGACCGGCCACAUUGGGACUGAGAUACGGCCCAGACUCCUACGGGAGGCAGCAGUGGGGAAUAUUGCACAAUGGGCGGAAGCCUGAUGCAGCAACGCCGCGUGCGGGAUGACGGCCUUCGGGUUGUAAACCGCUUUCGCCUGUGACGAAGCGUGAGUGACGGUAAUGGGUAAAGAAGCACCAGCUAACUACGUG